AUUGAACGCUGGCGGCAUGCCUUACACAUGCAAGUCGAGCGGCAGCGCGGGGGGCAACCCUGGCGGCGAGCGGCGAACGGGUGAGUAAUGCAUCGGAACGUACCCUGGAGUGGGGGAUAACGCCGCGAAAGCGGCGCUAAUACCGCAUAUGCUCUGAGGAGGAAAGUGGGGGACCGCAAGGCCUCACGCUCUGGGAGCGGCCGAUGUCCGAUUAGCUAGUUGGUGGGGUAAAGGCUUACCAAGGCGACGAUCGGUAGCUGGUCUGAGAGGAUGAUCAGCCACACUGGGACUGAGACACGGCCCAGACUCCUACGGGAGGCAGCAGUGGGGAAUUUUGGACAAUGGGCGGAAGCCUGAUCCAGCCAUGCCGCGUGAGUGAAG
rnacentral:rRNA from 1 species